AGCGAACGCUGGCGGCAGGCUUAACACAUGCAAGUCGAGCGGGCAUCCUUGUGGUGUCAGCGGCAGACGGGUGAGUAACGCGUGGGAACGUGCCCUUCGGUUCGGAAUAACUCAGGGAAACUUGAGCUAAUACCGGAUACGUGCGAGAGCAGAAAGGUUUAUCUGCCGAAGGAUCGGCCCGCGUCUGACUAGCUAGUUGGUGAGGUUACGGCUCACCAAGGCGACGAUCAGUAGCUGGUCUGAGAGGAUGAUCAGCCACACUGGGACUGAGACACGGCCCAGACUCCUACGGGAGGCAGCAGUGGGGAAUAUUGGACAAUGGGGGCAACCCUGAUCCAGCCAUGCCGCGUGAGUGAUGACGGCCUUAGGGUUGUAAAGCUCUUUUCUCCGGGACGAUAAUGACGGUACCGGAGGAAUAAGCCCCGGCUAACUUCGUG
rnacentral:rRNA from 1 species